CCCAGGCUGUCGCGCGAGCUCCCCGGAAGCUCCCACCUGAGCGGCGCAUCCUCAGGGCCUGGGCCUGGCCUCCUUGCCUGUGAGAUGGCACUGUGACGGUGCCCACCUCGUGGGGUGUGUGAGGGCCGAGUGAAAUCGUGCAUUUGCGGAGAAGAAAGGAAGGAGAGCUGAGUGUGGUGAAAAAAGUGAAGAGUGCUGGCUUUGGAAGCAUGUAUGCUAAAAUUGGAACCACACAGAGAUGACCAUGACCCCUGUGCAAGGAUGCUGUGCAAAUUCAUGAAGCAUUCCGUAUUUUUAUAAGUAAAUAAAUGGAAAAAAGUGUAAAGAAAAAAGAUCCAGAAAAAUUGGGAUACCCCAGUGGAGCAUGGGAUGGGUAAAGACCAAGGGGAGGGCAUGUACAUUUGGCAGGCAACCAGCAGGGCCUGCCCGGAGCCCAUCCUUAUUUUCCCCAGGAGCCUCCUCCCAACCCCUGAGGCUUGGUUAGGCUCCACCUGUGGUUUUCUGUGGUACCAGGGGAUUUUCCUCUUCUGGCACUUACCACACAUCCUCUUAAGACCUGCUCAUUGCACUGUCUUCCCCACCAGACUGUAACAGGGAGUGGGCCUAUGUGUUUGUUUUGCUCAAUUCCAUUCCCCCAGCAUGUGGCACAUGGUCCACCAUUCUGGGUGUGCUCUAAAAUCCGUUGAGUGAAAAACAG
rnacentral:lncRNA from 1 species